rnacentral:tRNA from 1 species
UAGCCUAGUGGUAAAGGCUAUGGAUCGCCAAUCCGGAGACGGCGGGUUCGAUUCCUGU